rnacentral:rRNA from 1 species
GAUGAACGCUGGCGGCGUGCCUAAUACAUGCAAGUCGAGCGAACAGAUGAGGAGCUUGCUCCUCUGACGUUAGCGGCGGACGGGUGAGUAACACGUGGAUAACCUACCUAUAAGACUGGGAUAACUUCGGGAAACCGGAGCUAAUACCGGAUAAUAUAUUGAACCGCAUGGUUCAAUAGUGAAAGACGGUUUUGCUGUCACUUAUAGAUGUAUCCGCGCCGCAUUAGCUAGUUGGUAAGGUAACGGCUUACCAAGGCAACGAUGCGUAGCCGACCUGAGAGGGGGAUCGGCCACACUGGAACUGAGACACGGUCCAGACUCCUACGGGAGGCAGCAGUAGGGAAUCUUCCGCAAUGGGCGAAAGCCUGACGGAGCAACGCCGCGUGAGUGAUGAAGGUCUUCGGAUCGUAAAACUCUGUUAUUAGGGAAGAACAAAUGUGUAAGUAACUAUGCACGUCUUGACGGUACCUAAUCAGAAAGCCACGGCUAACUACGUG